rnacentral:rRNA from 1 species
CCUACGGGUGGCAGCAGUGAGGAAUAUUGGUCAAUGGGCGGGAGCCUGAACCAGCCAAGUCGCGUGAGGGAAGAAUGUACAGCGUAUCGUAAACCUCUUUUGUCAGGGAACAAAAGCGGGGACUAGUCCCCGUAUGAGGGUACCUGAAGAAAAAGCAUCGGCUAACUCCGUGCCAGCAGCCGCGGUAAUACGGAGGAUGCGAGCGUUAUCCGGAUUUAUUGGGUUUAAAGGGUGCGCAGGCGGACUGUUAAGUCAGCGGUAAAAGCUAGAGGCUCAACCCCUGCGAGCCGUUGAAACUGGCGGUCUUGAGUUGGCGAGAAGUACACGGAAUGCGCGGUGUAGCGGUGAAAUGCUUAGAUAUCGCGCAGAACCCCGAUUGCGAAGGCAGCGUACCGGCUCCACACUGACGCUGAGGCACGAAAGCGUGGGUAUCGAACAGGAUUAGAUACCCGUGUAGUC